AACGAACGCUGGCGGCAUGCCUAACACAUGCAAGUCGAACGAGACCUUCGGGUCUAGUGGCGCACGGGUGCGUAACGCGUGGGAACCUGCCCUUAGGUUCGGAAUAACUCCCCGAAAGGGGUGCUAAUACCGGAUAAUGUCUUCGGACCAAAGAUUUAUCGCCUUUGGAUGGGCCCGCGUUGGAUUAGCUAGUUGGUAGGGUAAAAGCCUACCAAGGCGACGAUCCAUAGCUGGUCUGAGAGGAUGAUCAGCCACACUGGGACUGAGACACGGCCCAGACUCCCAAGGGAGGGCAGAGGGGGGAAUAAUUGACAAAGGGCGAAAGCCUGAUCCAGCAAUGCCGCGUGAGUGAUGAAGGCCUUAGGGUUGUAAAGCUCUUUUACCCGGGAUGAUAAUGACAGUACCGGGAGAAUAAGCUCCGGCUAACUCCGUG
rnacentral:rRNA from 1 species